rnacentral:rRNA from 1 species
ACUCCUACGGGAGGCAGCAGUGGGGAAUAUUGCACAAUGGGGAAGCCCUGAUGCAGCCAUGCCGCGUGUGUGAAGAAGGCCUCGGUUGUAAGCACUUUCAGUAGGGAGGAAGGUAGUGUAGUUAACACCUGCACUAUUUGACGUUACCUACAGAAGAAGCACCGGCUAACUCCGUGCCAGCAGCCGCGGUAAUACGGAGGGUGCGAGCGUUAAUCGGAAUUACUGGGCGUAAAGCGCAUGCAGGCGGCCUGUUAAGUCAGAUGUGAAAGCCCGGGGGCUUAACCUCGGAAUUGCAUUGAAACUGGCAGGCUAGAGUCUUGUAGAGGGGGUAGGAAUUUCAGGUGUAGCGGUGAAAUGCGUAGAGAUCUGAAGGAAUACCAGUGGCGAAGGCGGCCCCCUGG